rnacentral:rRNA from 1 species
AAAUCCCAUAAAGUUGUUCUCAGUUCGGAUUGUAGUCUGCAACUCGACUACAUGAAGCUGGAAUCGCUAGUAAUCGUAGAUCAGCAUGCUACGGUGAAUACGUUCCCGGGUCUUGUACACACCGCCCGUCACACCACGAGAGUUUGUAACACCCGAAGCCGGUGGAGUAACCUUUUAGGAGCUAGCCGUCGAAGGUGGGACAAAUGAUUGGGGUGAAGUCGUAACAAGGUAGCCGUAUCGGAAGGUGCGGCUGGAUCACCUCCUU